rnacentral:rRNA from 1 species
CGGCCGCGUCGACGGGGAAGAAGGCUCUUGGGUUGUAAACCCCUUUUCUCUGGGAAGAAAGUUGUGAAAGCAACCUGACGGUACCUAACCAGAAAGCCACGGCUAACUACGUGCCAGCAGCCGCGGUAAUACGUAGGUGGCAAGCGUUGUCCGGAAUUAUUGGGCGUAAAGCGCGCGCAGGUGGUCCUUUAAGUCUGAUGUGAAAGCCCACGGCUCAACCGUGGAGGGUCAUUGGAAACUGGGGGACUUGAGUGCAGAAGAGGAAAGUGGAAUUCCAAGUGUAGCGGUGAAAUGCGUAGAGAUUUGGAGGAACACCAGUGGCGAAGGCGACUUUCUGGUCUGUAACUGACACUGAGGCG